rnacentral:sRNA from 1 species
UCCUCGUUAAUGACUGGAGGGGAAGCCA